CACCCUGGAUGCAGCCUGCUGGAUCACGCCAAACCUGGCAUAAGCUGACAUUGCAAAGCUCCAAGGAGCAUCCGUCUGCAAAUGAGAUGUCCGUGGGGAGGAAGACAGAAAUUAGGAUGAGAAAUGCAAGGGAAGGGCAAAACUCUGAAGUCAAAAGAUUAACGCCUAUGCGGCUCUGAAGCUGCUCGCCAAGGCAGAACAACCUUCCUGGAGAUCCCGGCUCUGAAUGGAGUGCUAUGGCUUUAUUUAUUUAUUCAUUAUCUUAGAAAACAUCUUUAUUUUGAUAUUCCCAUACAUCAAACAGUGCUGAGGAUAUCAAGCAUUCCCAGAGCGGGACUUAUUGCGACACCACACCCACUGAGUUAUUCAUCCCAGUUCAGUCCUCGCACUACGGAACAUCACCCUGAGCCGUUCUUCCCGCACAAAGGCACCCCAAUUAGGUUACAGGAUGAAAAUCUAUCCAUUAAAUGACUUUCCUACGGGGAAAAUUGCUGUCCACAUGACAUGACGUGUCUUUCCAGGAGGAGAUGUCCAUUAGCGCUAAUUGUGCUGGUGGCUUUGGUAAUGCAGGCAGUGGUUGGUUUGGUGUCGGACAGACAGACUAAUUCCAUUUCCACUCAUUCUACUGAACAGAUAGUGGAUGUUAAUUACUUCAGUUACUAAUUUCCCAGACCAUGUUGUAACCCAUUAUCCAGGGGUGAAAAGACUUGUAGCCCAUUAUCAUGUCUCUCACAUCAGCUAAUGACUCUAAGAAUAAACUACAUGCUUAAAGGUGUUGAAAUUAAUAGUAAAUUCUAUGUGUUUUUGUAUUUUUGGUAUAUGCUCUCUAAAGCCUCAGUAUUUUAAUGCAGAAUAUGUGUUGUGUAAAGUUGGGAAAGCUACUUAUUAGAUAGACUUGGGAUACGGAGAGUGCUUUUUUGGCAUUGGUCCAUUUUAUGUCCACUUGGAUUUUAAGUAAAGACUGAGCGACUCUGAUGAGAGUAGAAGAGGGCAAGUAAAUGGAAGAAAAUGUAAUUGGAGCAAAGGAACUUUCUGGGACUCAAUGUGGACUGUAAGGAGAACUGACACAUUCCCUCAGACUGACUUCUUCCAAGAAGAAGCCUGCAGUCACGCAGUUGGGGGCGGCCAAUCUACCCAAAACUUCAGUAUCUCAUCAGAAAGCUACAGAUUUGACCACGGAAAUCUAUUUCUUAUCAUAAUUAGCAAUUUGGGACCGGAAAUGUUGCUUUGCUAUCAAAUAACGUAAAAAAAUCACGUUGUCAUAGAAUCAUAGAACGGCUUAGAUUGGAAGGGACCUCUAGUUCCAACCUCCUGAUGUGGGCAGGGUCACCAAUGAUUAAAUGAGGCACAAGAUCGGAGCUCACCAUUCCAUUCCAGUUUCUAUUCAUUUGUGCUCAUCCAUCUUAAAGUGUAAUAGGAACUUUUUUGAGGGUGUUUUUUUUUUUUUUAAUUAAAUCUGAAUCGACGUACUGAACCUUCGGAAUAUUUUUGAUGACAAGCAGACAGUAUGAACAUAAACACUUCCUAUGGAGAACACUCCUUGUCUUUGGAUAAAAGGCACCUGCCUUCCAUGCAACCAGCACCUGAACAAGGGAGAAAAGAGAGAGAAAAGAAGAAUAACCAGGUUGCAUUUUUCAAGUCUUUGUUGGGGAAUGGAUAAUGGAGAGGAUGAAUACUGCUAAUUAUUAGCUGCGAAUGCUUCUCAGAUACUAGCUUUGGGGAAGCCUGUGGCAGGUUAAGAGAACACAUCAGCAAGUGCACACCAAUGAAG
ensembl:lncRNA